ensembl:lncRNA
GCGGGCGCUGCCCGGGGCCGAGGGGCGCCGAGCCCUGCUCACCGCCGCCUUGAGGGGCCGGGGCACCCCGCCCGGGCCAGCGCGCCUCGAGCCACCGGGGCGACGCUGGGACCGUGGUCAGCAGGGUGCCCUUCCCCGACGGGGACGGAACCCCGACGGCGUCCGGGCCGGAAGGGCGGGCGCCCCGGACCGCGAACCUCCCCGCCGGGCAGUUUAGCAGGAGAGGCCUCCCAGGGCCGUUCACACAGGCCCGCGGUUCGCUUAGCAACUCGCGCAUUUUGGAAAAAGAAGUGUCCCACGCCUCGUCCCAGCGGAGGCGGGGGAGCGCGUGCGCCCUCGCGGGGAGGCCGGGGUGCCCCCCGGCGGCAGCCCCGGACCUGCGGGCCCUGCGACGGCCCCGGGGAGGCUUCGUGUGGCCGCCCCUGCGCGUGCGCGUCACACGGCUCGCGGGUGGCGACCCCCGACGCGCACCGCCCGGGAGACUGUUCUCGCCCUCGAGAGGGAGGACCACGCAGGGCCCUCCGCGUGGAUGCUGCUGUCACGUGUUUGUUGACUCGGGGAGAAUCGGAUGCUGGGCCUGCGAAUGUGUCUCCCUGAGAGGCUCUUUCAGAAAUGCACGGGCGCGGUGCUGAGACACCUGGGAUUGGCUGUCACACGAUGCGCUGAGCGAGGGGACGCACGGGGCCCGCAGCUCGUCGUCCUUGGAGCUGGUGAUGGCCCCACGGCGCUACCCCGUCCUCCUCUUGGACGCAUUUGCGCUUCCCUUUAAAAAGUCUUCAUAACAUUCACACCCAGUUCCGGGGAAAGACUUCGAAAUUUGCUACGGUUCUCCCAGCCGUUAGUCUCGCCCUAUCUUUCUUGAUGCUGAAAAAGUUCUUUAAAAAAACGCAGUCAUCUAGAUCACCCUGCAGAUGAGCUUGGCAUUAAAUUCCCGGGAUCACUAAGCUCUACCCGCUUAGACCCGGGCAGGAGAGGCCCCUGUCCUGGACCCCACGCUUUGAAGGACCUUACAUACCGCAAAUACAUCGAUUUAUUAAAAACACGGGGGCCUCGGCCACUCCUGGUCUGAUGCUGAACCCUGGCCCACAGCCAUAAGUGCCCUCUCCCUGGACCAACACUGUCCCGGCCGCUGGGAAACACUUCUUCAUGUCUCUUGUCCUUUGUCUUCAAAACAAAAGGUGGAACCCGGAAGCAGUGAGGAUCUGUGGGUGGGACAGCUGGCCUGGGCAGACAGAGGCUGCUGUGGAGUCCGGGUGGGAUUUGAGCAGCAAAGCGCUUAAAUAGGUAAGAGGAACACGGUGAGAGGCAGAGAAGAAGCUCCUAUAAACCUCUCCAGUUUCCUGCUGAUUUCUUCAGGGGGCGGCGUCCUGUGUCAGAGCAGUACUCCUCUGUGCUCAUCUUGCACUUGGCCAAAACAAGGGGUGAAGAAGCUAAGCUCGGUUAAAAGGCAGAAGAGAAACAGGCAGAUCCCUGAAGUCCGCUGUUCUCCUGUUUUCCCCUACCCGAUAGCAGCAUAUUAAAAGCAUAAGCUUCCUGCAAAACUGAAAGAGAAGCCAAAGCUUUGCAGAUGGUACCCAGGCAGAGGGCCAGGAGGUAGAAACAGGCUCAUCAAGCCCCAGAGGGGAGCUAAGUCGCGCCGUCCACACGCUCCAGGUUCAGCGCUGCUGGUGAGGCGCCCCUUCCUUCCUUCUCUCCUGAGAAACCGGGCCUGCCUCCUCCCUGACGGGGCAUCAUUGCUUCCUCCACAACCAGGCGUGCUUGCCCGAGGACUCGCCGACCUCGCUGUCUGUCAGAGAAGCACAAAGACACCUGGCAGAAGAAACAGACAACCAGAUCAGCCUGUAGACGUGACUGCAGUGUUCUCUACCGAAUCCUUAAGAAUUCUGACAACUCUUUGUGGGGAGACAGCUGGCUGGAUCCAAAGGGGAUGAAGUGUUACGUGUCCUUCUUUCUUCACUCUUCAAAACACAUCAUCUCCUACUUUUCAGUUUAUCUGUGGGCUCCCAUAAUGGGAAAAAAAGUAUGUAUUUGUCUACGGGUAUAGAUCCCCAUUCACCCUUCAACAGUGUUGGCACCGCUUUAGAUGUGUGAUAUACAGCAGUGAAGAAAACAGGUAAAUCCUGCCCUCCAAAGUCUUACAACGCAGUAGGAAUCAUUUGAUGUUGGUGGUGGUGCCAUGCAGUGGAUUCCGACUCCUAGCGCUCCAGCGCACAGCAUAGCAGACCCCUGCCCGGUCUUUCUCUGCCAUCCUCUCUCCUUCCGGCGCUGUACCAGACAACGCUCUGCUGCUAUUCACAGGGCUCUCAUGGCCAAUUUUUUCGGAAGUGGGUGGCCAGGUCCUCCUUCCUGGUCUGUCUUAGUCUGGAAGCUCCGCAGAGACCUGUCCACUGUGGGCGACCCUGCUGGUAUUUGAAAUACUGGUGGCUCAGCUUUCAGCAUCACAGCCACACGCAGUCACCGCAGUAUGACAAUCGUCAGACAGGGCUGACGACAGGGCUAGACUCCCAGUGCUGGUUAGUGGGAAUAAUAAUAGGCAAAAAUAAAAUAAACAGGUAGAUCUAUAGUUGAUGUAUGUCAGUAGAUGUAUAUUCAGUGCUAAGUGUUGUAUUAAAUAAAUAAAGCAGGGCAAGGGCAGUAUACAUUGUAUUUAAAAGUAGCAGAUGAGAGACGGUACAGAAUAUGGCUCUGGAGUUGACCUGGCUUUGACACUCAGGAGCUCCAUGACCUUGGUGAAGUUACUUGAACUUUUGUGGGCCUCAAUUUGCACCUCUGUAAAAUGGGGAUAACAAUAGCUCCUGCCUCAAAGGGCCGUUGUGAGGAUUAAAUGAUUGAAAAUAUGGAGAGCUGUUAGAACAGUGCCUGGCAUACAGUAAAUUCGAUGAACAUAAGCUAUGAACAUCGUUAAGAGGAGCAGAGAGUGACGGAGGGGUGCUACUUCAGACAGAACGUUCCAAGAAGGCCUGUGUGAGCUGGCAAAUGAAGUCAUGGAGAGAACCCGCGGCGUCUGGAGGAAGAAGCAGCAGGCAGGAGAGGCGAGCCCAAAGCACGGCAGCAGGGCUGGUGCGGGGUGAGCAGCAUGAGUGGGUGGGAGUGGCAGGAAAGGAGGUCACUGCCAGGCCCAGGUCAGCUGGGGCCGCCAAACUUCAGGUGUCGCUCUGCUGAGAAGACAGCAGAGGGCUUUGCGCGGAGGAGCUCACGACCUAAGGUUUAGAAAGCCCACCAUCCUAGCUGCUGCGUGGAGAACAAAGGACAGAGGGGCACGGCAGCGCACACCACUGCACAGCGGUCAACACAUUAAUAAGUAGGAAAACACAAGGUGCAACGGAAUGUUUGGUCCAUUUCCAUUUGCAUAAAAAGAAGAAAACUAUAAAUACAUGUGUGUUGAACUUAAAACUUUACCAACUGGAAAGUAAACAAACUUUAAAAGGAAAGAAAUGAAUCAGAAUCAUUUUACCCAGACAUUAAAAAAUGGUGGUGGAAGUGGAGUUGGGGGACACAGCGGCGACCAGAGGUGCUGAAACGGACGGGAUGCUUGGCGGGGACACAGUGUCAGCACCGAAGGGGCGACAGGUGUCUGCUCAAAGCAAAACUGAACUAAAGUGUCUUCCUGUUGCCUCUUCUACGUCAGCAACCGUUUGACCAGUGUCAGUUUUAUACAGUUAUUGUGUCGCACUUUCCUUCCACGAUUUUAUAGGGUUGUUCUACUGUCUGCUAGCAGCAAAUAUCCCGUGGAGAAGUCUGAAGCUAGCCUGAAUGGAUUUUCCUUUUUUAUAUCAUUUUUUCAACCUGCUUGUCCAAAAGUUAUUUGUUUUUCUUUGAAGGCAAAUAAAUGUAUUACAAUAUAUCUUGUUACAGAUGUUCCACAUUCAUUUUUUUCUGUGACCCUGUUAGGAUAGGCUAAACCGUUGGGAUAGAUCCCAAAUGAAAGGGUUCCAAGAAGACAGAGGUCUGAGGACCCCUGUUCUCCGCACAGACAUCCAGGGACUUGAGCCACUUGCCCCGCACUCUGGAAGAAGGAG